UAGAGAUAGCCCCAAGCCAAUUAGCUUGGUGGUGAAAUCAGUCAUUCCAAUUGUUUCGAAUAAGAAGACUCUUGACUAGCACAGAUGGGAAAGGUCUUUAUCUGGGCCUAUCGAAGAUGUGAACUGAAAAUUCAGAAAACAUUUAUGAACCUUUGGUAGGAUUUGAGCUCUUUUUCUUAAGUGUAAUUGGAAUGGCAGACUGGCACCUUCUCAUGGGGUUGAAUUGAAGUAGGUCACCCUGUCAUAUUCCACAUGGAAAUAAUUAUCAUCUAAAACAUGUCCAGCAGGAACAGAAGUUCUCAUUGGUUGCUGUAGAGAACAAUCGACAACAACAACACCCCCAUUAUGUAUAUUCUCUUUUGACACACAUCAUGAGAAUCACCAAGGCAGCAGAUGGUCCACGCACCAAUUCCUCCAGCGUCAAAACAUUUCUGUACUUGUUGUCAGGACCUUAAACUGCACCCUGUUCUGUUUGAUUAUUUUCAAAGUCUGAGCUGGCCACAGGGGUUCAGAUGAGAAAGAUUUGCAAAUCAGGAGGAAAAGAUGAAAGCAGAAAUGAAAAGCCAAACAACGACAUUGGAGAGAAAAACCUAUGAAAAAGCCCAACACUGGCUUAAUGGUCCUCUUUGAUUAUUUAUGAGUUUCUCCAGCACCGAAAGUAAAUAUUUUAAAUGACUUAGCAGGCAGCUGCCUGUUGAACUUCGGAACAAGCUAUUCUUAGGAGCAAAAAUAAUGAAGUUUGUCUUGUAGACUACAACUGAAGGAUUGGAAAUUUCUAAAGGACAAAGAAAACAACUGCCUAAAAAUUGGAGUCUGAUAUGAAAAUCUAAAUUGAGCUUUCCAUUCUGAGAUCACUGAUUUUUGUGGCUUCCAAAUGACAAUCAGAUUAAUAAAAGCAGAUUAAGAUUACCAAGAAAUGAACUUUGAAAUGAAAAAAUAUAAAAAUAAUCAAGGACAUUCCUGAUCCACAUAGGAAUGAGCUUCAUUGCAUCAUAAAAUAAACUUUUAGCACUUGAAACAUUGGUUACCAGAACUUCCUUUAAGGCUCAGAAAAUCGUCAAUGUCAAAUACAUUUGCAAGAUUUUGUUUCCCAUUCUGGGGUAAAUACAUUCAGUACAUUUACAUACAUAUCAAUAUUGUCAGAAUUUAGACAGUUUUUCCCAAUUUUGCCUGGUUGCAGUAGCUGUUCAUCCUGGGACUAUCUGGAGAACAUGAUUUGAGAAAGAUUAAUAUGAGUUUAGGAGCUCAAGAAUACCUGAAAGUUCUGAAUUGUUUAUAGAAUUUUAUAUGCAUACUUG